UACUUAUCCAGAAAGACCGAGGGACUGGGCCCGAUGACGUCUUGGCAACCUGCUACACAAGGUGCCAACUCCCAUUCCAAAGCUCCGGCGCUGGAAGAAGAUAAGUA
rnacentral:ncRNA from 2 species